rnacentral:lncRNA from 1 species
UGCAGGGUAUUGCUUUUACAACUCAACAUAUGAUUCCAUGUACAUCUGAUAUAAUCAUCCACAAAAGUAAUGAAGUAUUUAUAUCUGUCAUAGGUUGGAACAUGGUAUGGACCCCACAAUUCAACAUGUAACUUUUCAAAUAUUUUGGUUGUGAUAGUGGUCUUUUCAGAAAAAUGAAAUCUGCUUGUCUGGCCAUUGUGCAUAUGGGGAAAAGGAAAGGCUGAGUGGGUGCAAAUUUUACUGGUAUUUCACUGAUCCCUUUCAUCUUAGCAAAUGGAACAUGUCCUAGCCUAUUGUGCCACAAAUAUUCAACCAUGUUUGCAUCCGAUGUAGAUGUACUAUUAGAAGUGGAAGCAGGUAUAUUUGACAUAGAAAUGUUUCCUUUAUUACUUGAAAGUGAAAUAUUGAGAUUGGAACUCUU